rnacentral:rRNA from 1 species
UUAAUGCAUGCAAGUCGAACGAGGUCUGCCCUUCGGCGUAGUUCUUAGUGGCAGACGGCUGAGUAACGCGUAAGUAACCUGCCCGAAAGAGGGGGAUAACUCAAGGAAACUUGAGCUAAUACCGCAUAUUGUCCACGGCUGAAAUGCCAUGGAUGAAAGGUCUGGGAGACCAAUUUCCGCUUUCGGAUGGGCUUGCGUCCUAUCAGGUAGUUGGUGAGGUAAAGGCUCACCAAGCCAAUGACGGGUAGCUGAUGUGUGAGCAUGAACAGCCAGAGGGGGAUUGAGAUACGGCCCUCACUCCUACGGGAGGCAGCAGCAGGGAAUCUUCCACAAUGGGCGAAACCGUGAUGGAGCGACGUCGCGUGAAGGACGAAGGCCUUCGGGUUGUAAACUUCUUUUAUCAGGAAAGAGAACGGACGGUACCUGAUGAAUAAGUCACGGCUAACUACGUGCCAGCAGCCGCGGUAAUACGUAGGUGGCAAGCGUUGUCCGGAAUUACUGGGCGUAAAGGGUCCGUAGGCGGUUUGGUCAGUUUUGUGUGAAAACUCCGAGCUCAACUUGGAGAGGUCAUGAAAUACUGCCAAACUUGAGAAUGGUAGAGGUGAGUGGAAUUCCCGGUGUAGCGGUGGAAUGCAUAGAUAUCGGGAGGAACACCAGUGGCGAAACGGGCUCACUGGACCAUUUCUGACGCUGAGGGACGGAAGCGUGGGGAGCGAAUCGGAUUAGAUACCCGAGUAGUCCACGCCUUAAACGAUGGAUGCUAGAUCUUGGGAGAGUCAUACCUCAUAGGGUCGAAGCUAACGCGUUAAGCAUCCCGCCUGGGGAGUACGGUCGCAAGAUUAAAACUCAAAGGAAUUGACGGGGGCCCGCACAAGCAACGGAGCGUGUGGUUUAAUUCGAUGCUAAGCGAAAAACCUUACCUAGUCUUGACAUGUAGAUAGUAUUGAACCGAAAGGGGAUAGACCCGCAAG